AGAUGUGUUAGCGACACCUCGGUUGAACUGGCCUUAACGCACCAGCCUAAGACAUCGCCAUCGACACCAGGCACAUCCUCACUUCGGAACUCAUCUGCGACGACGAGAAUCCUAGCAGCGUCCAGGAUACAGUUCGAGGUAAGAUUUGCGUUAUCAUUCUUCUUCGUUUCUUUUAACCUUUUUUUCCGCUACGUAAAUUUAUUUAGUCUUUCUG